AACGCAGCGAAGGGCGAUAAGUAAUGCGAAUUGCAGAAUUCAGUGAGUCAUCGAAUCUUUGAACGCACAUUGCGCCCCCGUGGUAUUCCGCGGGGCAUGCCUGUUCGAGCGUCAUUUCUCAACCCUCAAGCUUCUGCUGGCGUUGGGCCGUACCGGGAACGGUCGGCCCUAAAAUCAGUGGCGGCGCCUUUUGGCUCUAAGCGUAGUAAUUCUCUCGCUAUAGACGUCAGGCGGUGUCCAGCCAGGAACCCCCCCAAUUUUCUAUGGUUGACCUCGGAUCAGGUAGGGAUACCCGCUGAACUUAA
rnacentral:rRNA from 1 species